UACGGAGGGGGCUAGCGUUGUUCGGAAUUACUGGGCGUAAAGCGCGUGUAGGCAGCGACUGCAAGUCGGGUGUGAAAGCCCUGGGCUCAACCUAGGAAGUGCACUCGAAACUGCAGGGCUUGAGUUCUGGAGAGGAAGGCGGAAUUCUCGGUGUAGAGGUGAAAUUCGUAGAUAUCGAGAGGAACAUCGGUGGCGAAGGCGGCCUUCUGGACAGUGACUGACGCUGAGACGCGAAAGCGUGGGGAGCAAACAGG
rnacentral:rRNA from 1 species